rnacentral:rRNA from 1 species
UGGGGAAUAUUGCACAAUGGGCGCAAGCCUGAUGCAGCCAUGCCGCGUGUAUGAAGAAGGCCUUCGGGUUGUAAAGUACUUUCAGCGGGGAGGAAGGUGUUGAGGUUAAUAACCUCAGCAAUCGACGUUACCCGCAGAAGAAGCACCGGCUAACUCCGUGCCAGCAGCCGCGGUAAUACGGAGGGUGCAAGCGUUAAUCGGAAUUACUGGGCGUAAAGCGCACGCAGGCGGUCUGUCAAGUCGGAUGUGAAAUCCCCGGGCUCAACCUGGGAACUGCAUUCGAAACUGGCAGGCUAGAGUCUUGUAGAGGGGGGUAGAAUUCCAGGUGUAGCGGUGAAAUGCGUAGAGAUCUGGAGGAAUACCGGUGGCGAAGGCGGCCCCCUGGACAAAGACUGACGCUCAGGUGCGAAAGCGUGGGGAGCAAACA